rnacentral:rRNA from 1 species
CCUAGGGGAGGCAGCAGUAAAGAAUAUUUCGCAAUGGGGGAAACCCUGACGAAGCGAUACCGCGUGGGCGAAGAAGGUCGCAAGAUUGUAAAGCCCUUUUCUGAAGGAAUAAUUCUGAAGGUACUUCAGGAAUAAGCACCGGCUAACUCCGUGCCAGCAGCCGCGGUAAU